rnacentral:rRNA from 1 species
GAGUUUGAUCUUGGCUCAGAAUUAACGCUGGCAGAGUGCAUAACACAUGCAAGUCGAGCGGGACUACCUGAGAUUACAUCAACUGGUAGUCUAGCGGCAGACGAGUGAGUAACACGUAGGCAAUCUACCCUUGAAUGGUGAACAACCAGCCGAAAGGUUGGCUAAUACACCGUACUCUCCCUUGGAGGCAUCUCCGAGGGAGGAGAGCAGCAAUGCGUUCUUGGAGGAGCCUGCGGCCCAUCAGCUAGUUGGCGGUGUAAUAGACCACCAAGGCUACGACGGGUACCCGGCCUGAAAGGGCGGACGGGCACGAUGGCACUGAGACACGGGCCAUACUCCUACGGGAGGCAGCAGUGGGGAAUUUUGGACAAUGGGCGAAAGCCUGAUCCAGCAACUCUGCGUGAGGGACGAAGGUCUUCGGAUUGUAAACCUCUUUACUUGGGAAGAAUCCUUGAAUUCUUUCGAGGUUGACGGUACCAUAGGAAUAAGCACCGGCUAACUCCGUGCCAGCAGCC